rnacentral:rRNA from 1 species
GAUGAACGCUAGCGGCAGGCUUAAUACAUGCAAGUCGAGGGGUAGCAAGAUUGUAGCAAUACAAUUGUUGACGACCGGCAAACGGGUGCGGAACACGUACACAACCUUCCUACAAGUGGGGAAUAGCCCAGAGAAAUUUGGAUUAAUACCCCGUAACAUAGCGAUGUGGCAUCACAUUGCUAUUAUAGCUUCGGCGCUUGUUGAUGGGUGUGCGGCUGAUUAGAUAGUUGGCGGGGUAACGGCCCACCAAGUCUACGAUCAGUAGCUGAUGUGAGAGCAUGAUCAGCCACACGGGCACUGAGACACGGGCCCGACUCCUACGGGAGGCAGCAGUAAGGAAUAUUGGACAAUGGACGCAAGUCUGAUCCAGCCAUGCCGCGUGAAGGAUUAAGGUCCUCUGGAUUGUAAACUUCUUUUAUAAGGGACGAACAAAGGCUUUUCUAAGUCGUCUGACGGUACCUUAUGAAUAAGCACCGGCUAACUCCGUGCCAGCAGCCGCAGUAA